UCGGGAAUUUUGGGCAAUGGGCGAAAGCCUGACCCAGCAACGCCGCGUGAAGGAUGAAGUAUUUCGGUAUGUAAACUUCGAAAGAAUAGGAAGAAUAAAUGACGGUACUAUUUAUAAGGUCCGGCUAACUACGUGCCAGCAGCCGCGGUAAUACGUAGGGACCAAGCGUUGUUCGGAUUUACUGGGCGUAAAGGGCGCGUAGGCGGCAUGACAAGUCACUUGUGAAAUCUCUGGGCUUAACCCAGAACGGCCAAGUGAUACUGUCGCGCUAGAGUGCAGAAGGGGCAAUCGGAAUUCUUGGUGUAGCGGUGAAAUGCGUAGAUAUCAAGAGGAACACCUGAGGUGAAGACGGGUUGCUGGGCUGACACUGACGCUGAGGCGCGAAAGCCAGGGGAGCAAAUGGGAUUAGAUACCCCCGUAGUCCCUGAGCGGGCUGGCAAGGCGCAU
rnacentral:rRNA from 1 species